rnacentral:rRNA from 1 species
UACGAAGGGGGCUAGCGUUGUUCGGAAUCACUGGGCGUAAAGGGCGCGUAGGCGGCUUUGUAAGUCGGGGGGUGAAAGCCUGUGGCUCAACCACAGAAUUGACCUUCGAUACUGCAUGGCUUGAGACCGGAAGAGGUAAGUGGAACGUGCGAGUGUAGAGGUGAAAUUCGUUAGAUAUUCGCAAGAAACACCAGUGGCGAAGGCGGCUUACUGGUCCGGAUCUGGACGCUGAGGCGGCGAAAAGCGUGGGGAGCAAACAGG